rnacentral:rRNA from 1 species
UACAGAGGUCUCAAGCGUUGUUCGGAUUCAUUGGGCGUAAAGGGUGCGCAGGUGGCCGUGUGUGUGAGGCGUGAAAGCCCGGGGCUUAACCCCGGAAUUGCACCUCAAACUACAUGGCUAGAGCAUUGGAGAGGGUAGCGGAAUUCACGGUGUAGCAGUGAAAUGCGUAGAUAUCGUGAGGAACACCAGAGGCGAAGGCGGCUACCUGGACAAUUGCUGACACUCAGGCACGAAAGCGUGGGGAGCAAAAGGG